rnacentral:rRNA from 1 species
GGGUGCGUAACGCGUAUGCAACCUGCCCCCGACCGGGACAAAACAGCUGGAAACGGCUGCUAAUAUCCCAUGGUCAUGCGGAAGGGCAUCCUUCUUCAUGUAAAGAUUCAUUGGUCGGGGAUGGGCAUGCGUAUUAUUAGGUAGUUGGCGGGGUAACGGCCCACCAAGCCGACGAUGAUUAGGGGUCCUGAGAGGGUUAUCCCCCACACUGGAACUGAGACACGGUCCAGACUCCUACGGGAGGCAGCAGUAGGGAAUAUUGGGCAAUGGGAGCAAUCCUGACCCAGCCAUGCCGCGUGAAGGAAGACGGUCCUAUGGAUUGUAAACUUCUUUUGCCGCAGAGUAACCGCGGGGACGCGUCCCCGCCUGAGAGUAUGCGGCGAAUAAGUAUCGGCUAACUCCGUGCCAGCAGCCGCGGUAAUACGGAGGAUACGAGCGUUAUCCGGAUUCAUUGGGUUUAAAGGGUGCGCAGGCGGACCGUUAAGUCAGGGGUGAAAAGUUGGGGCUCAACUCCAAUCGUGCCUUUGAUACUGGCGGACUAGAGUGCGAUAGGCGUGGCCGGAAUGUGGUGUGUAGCGGUGAAAUGCUUAGAUAUGCCACAGAACACCGAUCGAGAAGUC